CUGGAAUUCCUGGGGUUCUCCCCUUUCAAUGUGCCAUUUCCUCUCACCCAGGUGUCCCUGUUCAUCUCCCAGGUAGGCCUGGUGAUGCUCCUUGGCCCCCAGCCAGGCAGUUGUUGAUGUGGGCAGCCCCAGCAGCAGCAGAGCUGUGGCAAGCCCCUCCAGCUUUGGUCAGGGAGCCCCGCUUCUCACAACAAACCUCGCCUGGGCCCUGGAAUCUUGCCGACUUCAGCAAAUGUUUACACCUGCUUCUCCAUGGAGCAAGAAUCUAAGCAAGGAAUCUGACAAACAAAACAAAGGAGUGAGAGCACGGCGGGGAGCAGGGCGGCGGCCUUAGCUGCUUUUUUCUUUCCAGAGAACUGCCUGUUUCCUCAAACAUUUUCUGGGCCCCUUGCCUGAGUUUUCAGCUUUCCCCUUGCCAGCUGCCCAUGGUCCCAGUGCUUAGGGUAUAAUUUUUUUUCUGGCUAGUCAUCCUCCACUCAAAGAUUAGCCCCACUCAAGAAAGGGCAUCAUUCCCAUAGCAGAUUUCCAUCACCAUCCUAAGGUCCAAGGUUACUGCUAAGAAGGCAGUUGUGUACAAGGCUUGCCUGACUGACAUCUUUGGUUUGAGGAGGUGGAUUGCUGACCAGAACUCUAACAUCGGGCCGAUCUUGAGCAAGCUUUGUCCUUCUCGGCACGCCUAAACCAUUUAUCAAAAUGUUUAUCACCAUUCUCCAUGGAGGACCUGAAGGUUCAUCAGAGCCAGUCUUUGUGGCGCUAUUAAAAGAUGAUGAAGUUAUUGACUCUAAAUUACUAGCUACCCUGAGGCUUGCAGGAAACUCCAACUCCCCAGUGUCUGAGAAGCAACCAAAAUCUGGGAAGACCAAGAGAAAAACCUUGACUUCUGAAGCUCGGAGCCGAAAGGCAAACUGAGAACCUCCCCAAGGAGCAACAGGAGGCAGGAUGGGACCUAGGGAGAUGUGCUGAAUUCAGAGUUGGCGGACAUGGGUUUGAAUCCUGACCCUGCCACAAAUGACCUUUGUGACCUUGAACAAAUCCCUUUACCCUCUCUGGGCCUCAGUUUCCUCAUCUAUAAAAUGAAGGGGAUGGAUAAAAGAUCUCUAAGAUCCCAUCAGGCUUUAACUCUAUGAAACUAGAGCAGAAUCAUGUCUAUAUCAUGUCCUUUAUGCGGGAUGGGGAGACACUGUGAAAGGGCAUUAUGGCAAAGCAUCUGCUUUAGCUGGUAGUAAAACAUUUCUACAAUCUGUAAUAAAUAACAUUUGCAUACACUACUAAGCUAGAAA
rnacentral:lncRNA from 1 species